rnacentral:misc_RNA from 1 species
GAUGAAGAACGCAGCGAAAUGCGAUAAGUAAUGUGAAUUGCAGAUUUCAGUGAAUCAUCGAAUCUUUGAACGCACCUUGCGCCUUGUGGUAUUCCACAAGGCAUGCCCGUUUGAGUAUCAUUAAAUCAUCAACUCUAAAACCUUUGUGGUUUUUUUAGAGCUUGGUCUUGAGGGUUUUGCAGGCUUUUUUUUUUCGAGUCUGCUCCCUUUAAAUGCAUUAGCGAGACUUCCCUAUGCUGAACCGUCUCUUUGACGUGAUAAUUAUCUGCGUCGAAUCUUGGUUCUCGUUGGGCUUGCUUCUAAUCGUCUGUUAAAGACAAAACGGAUUUGGGUGCAUAUAUGCGCCUUUUUCCAAAACCUUUUUUGAUCUCAAAUCGGGUAGGACUACCCGCUGAACUUAAGCAUAUCAAUAAGCGGAGA